GAUGAACGCUGGCGGUAUGCUUAACACAUGCAAGUCGAACGGACUCUUCGGAGUUAGUGGCGGACGGGUGAGUAACGCGUGAGAAUCUGGCUUUGGGUUCGGGACAACCACUGGAAACGGUGGCUAAUACCGGAUGUGCCGAGAGGUAAAAGAGAAAUUGCCUGAAGAUGAGCUCGCGUCUGAUUAGCUAGUUGGUGAGGUAAAGGCUCACCAAGGCAGCGAUCAGUAGCUGGUCUGAGAGGAUGACCAGCCACACUGGGACUGAGACACGGCCCAGACUCAUACGGGAGGAAGCAGUGGGGAAUUUUCCGCAAUGGGCGAAAGCCUGACGGAGCAAUACCGCGUGAGAGAAGAAGGCUCUUGGGUUGAAAACCUCUUUUCUUAGGGAAGAACAAAAUGACGGUACCUAAGGAAUCAGCAUCGGCUAACUCCGUG
rnacentral:rRNA from 1 species